rnacentral:rRNA from 1 species
UACGUAGGGUGCAAGCGUUGUCCGGAAUUAUUGGGCGUAAAGAGCUCGUAGGCGGUCUGUCGCGUCUGCUGUGAAAACUCGGGGCUUAACCCUGAGCUUGCGGUCGAUACGGGCAUGACUGGAGUUCGGCAGGGGAGACUGGAAUUCCUGGUGUAGCGGUGAAAUGCGCAGAUAUCAGGAGGAACACCGGUGGCGAAGGCGGGGUCUCUGGGCCGAUACUGACGCUGAGGAGCGAAAGCGUGGGGAGCGAACAGG